AUGAUUGAAAAAUCCAGGGCAAACUAUCCUCGCGUACGUGCGACACUCCCACAACAGCUCCGCGGCUGCUCACCACCAACAACACUGGUCCCGGUGAAAACGGGACAGAUCGCACAGUCGCGACAUCCACUUCCCCUAUAUCCCCCCUCUCCAGCCUUAUCCACCCCUUCAAAUGGAGGAAAAAGAGAUUCCUCCUCAGAAACGGAGGAAUCGGUGUCCGAUCGGAUGACAGCAGCGUCUCCUCCUACAUCAGCGGAUGGAGCUGCGUGCGCGCACACUAGAUUGAUUCCACACGGCCACGGAUGAUUGACAGGGAGAGAAGUCGGGAGCAGGCGAGAGAAGGCGGGAACUGUGCGAGCUCGCGUUCUGGAGGCGGAUAACAGGAACUGUCAAGUUUGGUCGACGGCACAAAUCAGUCGGGCAUUCUGAGAGCGCGCGCUGCCGGGGUGUGUCGCUCAUUCUGAGGGAAUAGUGUUACUUCCACAGAAGUCUCGCGGUAGAGAACACAUUUCCGCAUAAACCAUGGACGGUUCUCACUUAAGAUUAGAUAAAUAUACGUUAAUGAUGCCAAGCGGGAAAUUGUGAAUACGAUUUAUAAUAAUAAUAAUAAUAAUGAAACGAAAUAAUUAUGAUUUGCUAUUUCCCUUAUCAAAUCAUUAAAGUACUUUACUAAUACCACUAAGAAAAAUGCAUGCAAUGGCAUGGAAUUACUGUCCCUCACACAAAUAUAAUAAUAUAACCACCUUUACGAAGACAGAAAUUAAAAAAGUAGGUUAUGAACAUAUUGGACAUAUAACAACAUAUAUGACAAAUCUAUGUCUUGGUAUCGCCUGUGUAAGCUGUUAAUAAUUUAACGAUGCUGUAAUUAAACAUCACAGUUGUUGGACUCUGCCUACAUCUAGUGGACACACCUGGUAUUACAUGUUGAAAAUGUUUUAUCAGGGGCAUACUAGAAACUUCCAGCCAGGUGUCUUGAGGCAAGUUGGAGCUAAACUCUGCAGGACACCGGACCGAGUUUGGAGACCCCCAGUUUAUAUCAAUCAAGUCCUCUUGGUCUUGGUGGAUGCUGAAUGUUAUGCAGAUGUUUAUAUAAGAUGCAUGGAAAUAUAUAAAGUGUAGCAGAUAAACUUAUACAGAAAACCUACAGCGAUAUCGUGUAAAUCAAUCAAAUAAUCUGACAAAAGGAUGACUAUUAUUAUAUAUAUAUAUAUAAAAGGGAUAUGCCGGUAUCAAAUUUUCAUGUUGCAAUUAAUUGCUAAUGCUUUUAUCACGGUAUUGAAAUUUAGUUUAAAAAAUGUGGUCAUAAUAUACAAACCCGAUUCCAAAAAAGUUGGGACACUGUACAAAUUGUGAAUAAAAAUAGAAUGCAAUGAUGUGGAAGUUUCAAAUUUCAAUAUUUUAUUCAGAAUACAACAUAGAUGACAUAUCAAAUGUUCAAACUGAGAAAAUGUAUAAUUUUAAGGGAAAAUAUGUUGAUUUUAAAUUUCAUGGCAUCAACACAUCUCAAAAAAGUUGGGACAAGGCCAUGUUUACCACUGUGUGGCAUCCCCUCUUCUUUUUAUAACAGUCUGCAAACGUCUGGGGACUGAGGAGACAAGUUGCUCAAGUUUAGGAAUAGGAAUGUUGUCCCAUUCUUGUCUAAUACAGGCUUCUAGUUGCUCAACUGUCUUAGGUCUUCUUUGUCGCAUCUUCCUCUUUAUGAUGCGCCAAAUGUUUUCUAUGAGUGAAAGAUCUGGACUGCAGGCUGGCCAUUUCAGUACCCGGAUCCUUCUUCUACGCAGCCAUGAUGUUGUAAUUGAUGCAGUAUGUGGUCUAGCAUUGUCAUGUUGGAAAAUGCAAGGUCUUCCCUGAAAGACAAGACGUCUGGAUGGGAGCAUAUGUU
rnacentral:lncRNA from 1 species